AACUGGAAAUUGAAAAGAAAAAAACUGAAUGAAACACACCCAACGAGUUCCAUUCCAUACUGUGUCUGUGUCUGACUUCUGAUGAGACCAAUCAGGCUUCCCGAACCGCCCAGCGGGUUUUCGGGUCUGCCCGAGAUCUUCGAUGCUGGUGGGGUCUACGGCGCGAUCAAACGAGCUAUCAUCAUCGGAAACGGCUUCGCCGGCUCAGAAAAUCAAAGCAUUGGCCUUGUUCGCGCUCUCGGUCUCGGUCUCUCUCGCCACCACUCCUUUUACCGAGUUACAAGGCCAAGAGGAGGAAUCAAUGAGUGGCUUCAUUGGGUUCCAGUUUCUCUACACAAAAAAUUGGAUUAUGUCAUGAAGCGAAUAAUUGGAUAUCAAGUCAUGGUUAAUGGGCAAAAAGUGAUGCCUCUUUUUUCUCAAACAACUGGCCUAUCUGAUGUUCUAGAAGCUGAUGCAAAUCAUAUUGCGAAAAUGGCCCGCGAAACAUUUGACAAAGACGGCCCACUGUUGGUGGUUGCAUCAGGCCGGGAUACUAUUUCUGUUUCAAGCUCCAUAAAACGUUUAGCUCCAGAAAAUGUUUUUGUUGUUCAGAUACAACAUCCAAGGUCCCAUUUGAAUCGGUUUGACUUGGUAAUUACUCCUCGUCACGAUUAUUACCCUCUGACUCCUCAUGCACAAGAGCAAAUUCCUUGGUUUCUCUGCAGGUGGAUAACUCCACGUGAACCUCCAGGAAGAAAUGUGGUUCUCACUGUGGGAGCUCUUCAUCAGGUUGAUUCUGCUGCACUUAGGAGUGCUGCUUCUGCGUGGCAUGAUGAGUUGGCACCACUUCCAAAGCCCUUGCUUGUGGUCAAUGUUGGAGGGCCUACUAGCAAUUGUCCAUACGGUGCGGAUCUUGCAAUGCAGUUGGCAACUAUGCUGCGGAAUAUUCUUUGGAGCUGCGGAAGCAUCAGGAUAUCUUUCUCUAGAAGAACUCCUGAGAAGGUGUCCAAUAUUCUAGUAAGAGAAUUUAGUGGUAACCAAAAGGUGUACAUUUGGGAUGGUGAAGAUCGGAAUCCACAUAUGGGGCAUCUAGCUUGGGCUGAUGCUUUUGUCAUCACAGCUGAUUCAGUAAGUAUGUUGAGUGAGGCUUGCAGUACUGGGUAUGUUCAAAGAAGCCCGUUUAUGUAAUUGGUGCUGAGCGGUGUACAUGGAAGUUUGCUGAUUUCCAAAAGUCUCUUCAGGAACGAGGAGUUGCUCGACCAUUCACUGGUAAAGAGGAUAUAUCAGAGAGCUGGAGCUAUUCUCCACUUAAUGACACUACUGAGGCUGCUAAUUGUGUGAAUAUGGCACUUGCCCAGCGUGGAUGGAGUAUACACAGAUAAUGGGUUUCCUUGUUUUGGGUCCAUGAUCCCAGUAGUCUAUCAGGGUGGGAAUUGCCUCCAACCAGAAGCAGUCUUUACGUGGUCCUUUACCAAUUGACGCCUAGAAGCAGUGUCUGACCUGUUUUUUACUGACUGAUAGAAGCAAUUAACUCUGACCGGAUUGACCAAUUUUGCUCAUACCCUGUGUUAGAAUUCGUUUGUUUGAUUUUGGUAUUACCUGUAUCUUGUUCAAUACCACAAGAGAUUUUGAAUUGUUAACAGAACUUACAGCAGAGCAGCCUGUCUUGUAAAAUAAAAACUGAAUUAUACUACUUGUUCACUUAAAGUAUGAUGAUAUGUAAUUUAUUUUGAUUUGGUUGAUGAAA